ACAGCUCAAAUUUGAAAUCUGGCCCCCUCCGGGGUCCGAGUUGUAAUUUGUAGAGGAUGCUUCGGGUACGGCGUCGGUCUAAGUUCCUUGGAACAGGACGUCUUAGAGGGUGAGAAUCCCGUACGCGACCGACCGCCACGCCCAUGUGAAGCUCCUUCGACGAGUCGAGUUGUUUGGGAAUGCAGCUCAAAAUGGGUGGUAAAUUUCAUCUAAAGCUAAAUAUUGGCCAGAGACCGAUAGCGCACAAGUAGAGUGAUCGAAAGAUGAAAAGCACUUUGGAAAGAGAGUUAAACAGUACGUGAAAUUGUUGAAAGGGAAGCGCUUGCGACCAGACUUGCCCGCGGGUGAUCAACCGGUGUUCUCACCGGUGCACUCGCCCGUGGUCAGGCCAGCAUCGGUUCAGGUGGCCGGACAAAGGCCCCCGGAAUGUAGCUCCUUCCGGGGAGUGUUAUAGCCGGGGGCGCAAUGCGGCCCGCCUGGACCGAGGACCGCGCUUCGUGCUAGGAUGCUGGCGUAAUGGUCGUAAGCGACCCGUCUUGAAACACGGACCAAGGAGUCUAACAUCUAUGCGAGUGUUCGGGUGUCAAACCCGUGCGCGUAAUGAAAGUGAACGGAGGUGGGAACCCGUAACCGGGCGCACCAUCGACCGAUCCUGAUGUCUUCGGAUGGAUUUGAGUAAGAGCAUAGCUGUUGGGACCCGAAAGAUGGUGAACUAUGCCUGAAUAGGGUGAAGCCAGAGGAAACUCUGGUGGAGGCUCGCAGCGGUUCUGACGUGCAAAUCGAUCGUCAAAUUUGGGUAUAGGGGCGAAAGACUAAUCGAACCAUCUAGUAGCUGGUUCCAGCCGAAGUUUCCCUCAGGAUAGCAGUAACGUAUUCAGUUUUAUGAGGUAAAGCGAAUGAUUAGCGACCUUGGGGGCGUCAAGCCCUUAAUCGAUUCUCAAACUUUAAAUAUGUAAGAAGUCCUUGUUACUUAGUUGAACGUGGACACACGAAUGCACCGUUACUAGUGGGCCAUUUUUGGUAAGCAGAACUGGCGAUGCGGGAUGAACCGAACGCGAGGUUAAGGUGCCGGAAUGCACGCUCAUCAGACACCACAAAAGGUGUUGGUUCAUCUAGACAGCCGGACGGUGGCCAUGGAAGUCGGAAUCCGCUAAGGAGUGUGUAACAACUCACCGGCCGAAUGAACCAGCCCUGAAAAUGGAUGGCGCUCAAGCGUGCUACCUAUACCUCGCCGCCA
rnacentral:rRNA from 1 species